CCUACGGGUGGCAGCAGUGGGGAAUAUUGCACAAUGGGGGAAACCCUGAUGCAGCGACGCCGCGUGAGUGAAGAAGUAUUUCGGUAUGUAAAGCUCUAUCAGCAGGGAAGAAAAUGACGGUACCUGACUAAGAAGCCCCGGCUAACUACGUGCCAGCAGCCGCGGUAAUACGUAGGGGGCAAGCGUUAUCCGGAUUUACUGGGUGUAAAGGGAGCGUAGACGGUGAUGCAAGUCAGAAGUGAAAGCUCGGGGCUCAACUUCGGGACUGCUUUUGAAACUGUGUGACUGGAGUGCAGGAGAGGUAAGCGGAAUUCCUGGUGUAGCGGUGAAAUGCGUAGAUAUCAGGAGGAACACCAGUGGCGAAGGCGGCUUACUGGACUGUAACUGACGUUGAGGCUCGAAAGCGUGGGGAGCAAACAGGAUUAGAUACCCCAGUAGUC
rnacentral:rRNA from 1 species